rnacentral:rRNA from 1 species
UACGUAGGGUGCGAGCGUUAAUCGGAAUUACUGGGCGUAAAGCGUGCGCAGGCGGUUUUGUAAGCCGGAUGUGAAAUCCCCGGGCUUAACCUGGGAAUGGCAUUCGGGACUGCAAGGCUGGAGUGCGGCAGAGGAGACUGGAAUUCCUGGUGUAGCAGUGAAAUGCGUAGAUAUCAGGAGGAGCACCGAUGGCGAAGGCAGGUCUCUGGGCUGACACUGACGCUCAUGCACGAAAGCGUGGGGAGCAAACAGG